UCCUCUACUAGGAUGUGAGAGGUGCCAGGUUCCAGUCACAGGCGAUCCGUGGGUUUCCAGCUGUCCCCCUUUUUAGUGGGCAGCAAGAAGCGAAUCCGAAGGACUCCAGGGGCUUGCUGUCGGGACAAGCCGGGAAAACCCUCCUCCCCAAGUCGGUGCUGGACCCCUUGUUAGCGCAAGAGGAAAGAGAAGAUGGGAGAGUAAAAGUCUGGAGCGUUGGGGCAGCUGCCCGUUUGGGAAGAAGUUCUGGCUGCAUUGCACUCCUUCCUCUUCUGGAAUCGAAACCGAAACCUCUCUCCACGCACCUUCCCAAGGGAUCAAGAAGCCAGGACUCGUAGAACUAGGGGAAUGCCCUGAGGCCAGGGCACAAGCCUCCAAGGACAAACGUCAGGAAAGCUACGCCAACGUGGCUCGUUGGUCUAGGGGUAUGAUUCUCGCUUUGGGUGCGAGAGGUCCCGGGUUCAAAUCCCGGACGAGCCCAUCUUUUGGACCGGUGUCACGCGGCAGGUCCUGGGCAAGAGGAAACUUGGGUCCACCACAGGCUAGUCUGCUUCUCCGAGAGCAGGAGAUCUGGUCUGUGUGCGGAACUGUGCAAGCACCAGGGAGUCCCAUCCUCAGGGAUAACGACCCAACUUCCUCUCGGCACUUUUUUUUUUCUCUUUGUGGUAUUAAAAGGUCGUUUGCAUA